rnacentral:rRNA from 1 species
AUUGAAUGCUAGCGGCAGGCUUAACACAUGCAAGUCGAGCGGGGAAAGGUAGCUUGCUACCUGACCUAGCGGCGGACGGGUGAGUAAUGCUUAGGAAUCCGCCUAUUAGUGGGGGACAACAUCUCGAAAGGGAUGCUAAUACCGCAUACGUCCUACGGGAGAAAGCAGGGGACCUUCGGGCCUUGCGCUAAUAGAUGAGCCUAAGUCGGAUUAGCUAGUUGGUGGGGUAAAGGCCUACCAAGGCGACGAUCUGUAGCGGGUCUGAGAGGAUGAUCCGCCACACUGGGACUGAAACACGGCCCAGACUCCUACGGGAGGCAGCAGUGGGGAAUAUUGGACAAUGGGGGGAACCCUGAUCCAGCCAUGCCGCGUGUGUGAAGAAGGCCUUUUGGUAGUAAAGCACUUUAAGCGAGGAGGAGGCUACCGAGAUUAAUACUCUUGGAUAGUGGACGUUACUCGCAGAAUAAGCACCGGCUAACUCUGUGCCAGCCGCCGCCGUAAGAC